rnacentral:rRNA from 1 species
GAUGAACGCUGGCGGCGUGCCUAAUACAUGCCAGUCGAGCGAACAGACGAGGAGCUUGCUCCUCUGACGUUAGCGGCGGACGGGUGAGUAACACGUGGAUAACCUACCUAUAAGACUGGGAUAACUUCGGGAAACCGGAGCUAAUACCGGAUAAUAUAUUGAACCGCAUGGUUCAAUAGUGAAAGACGGUUUUGCUGUCACUUAUAGAUGGAUCCGCGCCGCAUUAGCUAGUUGGUAAGGUAACGGCUUACCAAGGCAACGAUGCGUAGCCGACCUGAGAGGGUGAUCGGCCACACUGGAAGUGAGACAGGGUCCAGACUCCUACGGGAGGCAGCAGUAGGGAAUCUUCCGCAAUGGGCGAAAGCUUGACGGAGCAACGCCGCGUGAGUGAUGAAGGUCUUCGGAUCGUAAAACUGUGUUAUUAGGGGAGAACAAAUGUGUAAGUAACUAUGCACGUAUUGACGGUACCUAAUCAGAAAGCCCCGGCUAACUACGUG